CCCGCACAAGCGGUGGAGCAUGUGGUUUAAUUCGAAGCAACGCGAAGAACCUUACCAGGUCUUGACAUCCCCUGACAACCCGAGAGAUCGGGCGUUCCCCUUCGGGGGACAGGGUGACAGGUGGUGCAUGGUUAUCGUCAGCUCGUGUCGUGAGAUGUUGGGUUAAGUCCCGCAACGAGCGCAACCCUCGACCUUAGUUGCCAGCAUUCAGUUGGGCACUCUAAGGUGACUGCCGGCUAAAAGUCGGAGGAAGGUGGGAUGACGUCAAAUCAUCAUGCCCCUUAUGACCUGGGCUACACACGUGCUACAAUGGUUGGUACAACGAGUUGCGAGUCGGUGACGGCGAGCUAAUCUCUUAAAGCCAAUCUCAGUUCGGAUUGUAGGCUGCAACUCGCCUACAUGAAGUCGGAAUCGCUAGUAAUCGCGGAUCAGCACGCCGCGGUGAAUACGUUCCCGGGCCUU
rnacentral:rRNA from 1 species